rnacentral:rRNA from 1 species
GAUGAACGCUGGCGGCGUGCCUAAUACAUGCAAGUCGAGCGAAAAGACGAGGAGCUUGCUCCUCUGACGUUAGCGGCGGACGGGUGAGUAACACGUGGAUAACCUACCUAUAAGACUGGGAUAACUUCGGGAAACAGGAGCUAAUACCGGCUCAUAUAUUGAACGGCAUGGUUCAAUAGUUAAUGGCGGUUUUGCUGCUACUAUUAGCUGGAUCCGGGCCGGAUUAGCUAGUUGGUAAGGUAACGGCUAACCAAGGCAACGUUGCGUAGCCGGUCUGAGAGGGUGAUCGGCCACACUGGAACUGAGACACGGUCCAGACUCCUACGGGAGGCAGCAGUGGGGAAUAUUGGACAAUGGGCGAAAGCCUGAUGCAGCCACACCGCGCGGGUGAAGAAGGCCUUCGGGUUGUAAAGCCCUUUUAUUGGGAAAGAAAAGCAGUGUAAUAAUACACGGACGUUCUGACGGUACCUAAUGAAAAAGCCCCGGCUAACUUCGUG